AUUGAACGCUGGCGGCAGGCCUAACACAUGCAAGUCGAGCGGAUGAAGGGAGCUUGCUCCUGGAUUCAGCGGCGGACGGGUGAGUAAUGCCUAGGAAUCUGCCUGGUAGUGGGGGAUAACGUCCGGAAACGGGCGCUAAUACCGCAUACGUCCUGAGGGAGAAGUGGGGGAUCUUCGGACCUCACGCUAUCAGAUGAGCCUAGGCCGGAUUAGCUAGUUGGUGGGGUAAAGGCCUACCAAGGCGACGAUCCGUAACUGGUCUGAGAGGAUGAUCAGUCACACUGGAACUGAGACACGGUCCAGACUCCUACGGGAGGCAGCAGUGGGGAAUAUUGGACAAUGGGCGAAAGCCUGAUCCAGCCAUGCCGCGUGUGUGAAGAAGGUCUUCGGAUUGUAAAGCACUUUAAGUUGGGAGGAAGGGCAGUAAGUUAAUACCUUGCUGUUUUGACGUUACCAACAGAAUAAGCACCGGCUAACUUCGUG
rnacentral:rRNA from 1 species